CGCCAGUAGACAACAUUGGCAGAGACAUGAAACGUUCACCGGUAUUCCUGAAACCUUAUACGCACGCUAAAUUACUGUGCUACAUGCAAACAUCUAUCGGUCUUUGACAGUUGGCGUCACACUCGCUAUAGCCGCAGUGUAUUGUGGGUCGAAUCGCCAUUGUGGGUGUAUACAACUCAAGUGCCAGCAUUUCCGUGCAGCAUUAUCUUUGAGGAUAUGGACAGCAGGCAGAGGAGGUAACGAAGAGGCCUCGGGUGGCCUGGGUCGCAGCGGUGAGACGGAAGGAGAUCUCUGUCAACAAGAUAUAUCCCUUAAUGCGUGUUUGCUCUCGGCAUUUUCAUAAAGGCAAGUAAGAUGUUUUUUGUUUAAGUAGUAUUACUGAAUGUGCAUUUUUUUUGUCUUCUAAAGUUGGUAUUUUCACAUUGGUUAACCUACGCUAGCAAGCUAGCCUCAUUACGGAGAGUAGCAGAAAUUGGUUAAUCUGUUCGUGUUAAACUAGCGUUACAGAGUCGAGUGAAUGCUUUUUAAAGACAAAAGUAAACAGCAAAACUGUAAUGACACGUUUAUCAGUGCAUGUAUGUGUAUAUUCGCGUGCAUGGAUUAUAAGCCACAAUGCUGGAUAAGGCUGUCACUGUGUGCUGUGCCCUGACAAACCAAUGGCCAACUAUUGUUUAAGUUUAGAAACAUUUGCAAGUAUGGUUUCUAACGUUUCACAUGAUGUCUGGAAGGACCUGUAUAAACUCAUUGUAUACUGAGCCUGUAUUCUGCUUGCCACUUAACUUUAUUGGUCAUAUUUAAAAUAAAAUAUAUGUCCAUG